CUCUUCUUGAAUAUAUUUUGAUGUAUGGCCUGCCCACUGAGUAUUAAAGGGCCGCGGUAUUUUGACCGUGCAAAGGUAGCAUAAUCAUUAGUCUUUUAAUUGUAGGCUGGAAUGAAUGGUUUGACGAGGUGUUAACUGUCUUUAAUUUUUUUUAUUGAAUUUAAAUUUUAGGUUAAAAUGCCUAAAUAUUUUUUUGGGACGAGAAGACCCUAUAGAGUUUUAUAUAUUUUUAUUUUUUUUGUGUGAUAAUUUUUGAUUUAAAAAUUUAUUUUGUUGGGGUGAUGGGAAGAUUGAAUUAACUCUUUUUGUUUUAUUAUAUUUAUUUAUAUGUAUUUGAUCCAUUUUUAUUGAUUAUAAGACUAAAUUACC
rnacentral:rRNA from 1 species